rnacentral:lncRNA from 1 species
AGAGCAGUGUGAAGGCCCGCAGCGAACGGCCCGAGCGUCUCCUGGCGCGGCUUCGGACCGCUUCGCUGGAGGAAGCGGCCGGGCCCCGCGUGGUGCUCGCGAGGGCCCCGCGCGGCCCCGACGGCACCCGGGGCUUCCGUCCGCGGCGCCCUGUCGCUGAUCUGUUAGCCGAGUGAGACUGGUGAAGUUUUUCAUACCAAGGCCUCAACGCUCUACAGCUAUGUAGAUAGACAUCAUAAUGGUUUGAUUUUCAAAUUAUUUCAUUGUAUUCACGUGAGACUGACUGAACCCUUUUCUUUAGCAGCAUUUAGAAAAUUGUUUCGUGUUUUUAUUUUUAUUAUUCUGUGACAAGACAAUGUAAACUAAAUUAUUGUCAGCUACCACACAACCGAUCAAAUGUAUGGCUUAUUAUAUCGAAUGAGCAAUGAACAUAUCAAUUUAAUCAAACCAAGUUUAGUUGCAAGUGCAUAUAAGUAUGCAAAAGUCGAUUUUGAUUUACCUAAGUAAGAGGUUCUUUUUCGCAUAGACUGUUGUUCAAAAUUCCGCUUGCGCCACUCUUGAGCACUGGUACGGUUUGCCAAGUUCAAUGUGAGUAAUGGCCGGCACAUAACACAUGAAGCAUCGCCGCUCGACACCACGCGCCUCACAUACUCAUCUCGUGUAAAUAUUUUUUAUUAUCUAGCUAUUAUCAUAAAUCAUAUUAUUAUGCUGCUCGCCCACGUGUUUUUUGUAUAUUGUAAAAUAAAAUUUAUUUAACAUGAAUUACGUAGUUGCUUAAAUUAUUAUCGAUUGAAUAAAUUAACAACAAAUUCUAUAGGGAUACUAUCCACAUUUGUUGCCGUAUUUAUUUACGUUUGUAGAUCUCUAUUUGCGAAACGUUCUGUGAUUAUAUGAAAAUUUCGUGUGCAAUAAAUGUUUUAACAAAAAAAAAAUAAUAAUAAUGUCCCUACAGGGCACUGCUAGUCUUUUAGUAUUAUGAUUCCAUGAGUCUCUAGGGCGCUUCAUCUGAUAUGUGUCGUCGUGACCCUGCCCACGGCUAUCUUCCAAACGAACAAAAAUUCUAACAAAACUAUCGGAAACUAAGCAUUUAAGUAUGGAGAAGUAUGCGAUUACACUGGCAUGGAACCAAAGACUGAAAAUAUUUAUUACAGUAAUGAUAUUGGUAUUAGAUUAUUAUAAUUUACUAUAUGUUGUGAACAUUCAUGGUACUGAUGCGUUUGUAAAUGGUUAAUUGUUCGCUGUCUGUGCAAAUUUUCUCUGUGGCUAUAAGAAUUUAAUCAGUUCAAGCGGGACCAAAUGCUGAUAGAACUUGUAUUAUAUUGAUUACUGACAGAUAGUGCAGCUCAAUCCACCGUUUGGCUUACUAUUGUAACUAUUUAGUAAAAAGACGCGUCAUAGUUAAUUGUGACAAGUAUUCUAAUGACAAUUAGUAGUAUAUUACUUUGCCGAUGACAAUUUUAUUAUCAAAUAUAUAAAUUACUUGAUUUUUUUAAUGGAUGAUUUUAGUAUGUAUGUAUUUAUAAAAGGCUCGGUUUCUUAAUAGGCUAGUUAACAAAUUUCAAAAUCUCAUCAACAUACGUUUUGUGCAUGCAAUUGUUGGUAGAUUGAAAUCGUACCAUAACUAAAUUAUCUUUUGUACCAUAUCUUUUAGCUUAUAAAUGGAAAAUCCGUUUGCACUGAUUAAAGUUCACGGCUAACGUCGGUUGAAGCGAGCGAUCCGUCACUAAUUCGUGUUUAAUGAACUGAUAUUUGUAAUAAAGCAAUAUAAAUGUGUUCAAGUACAAGUAUCAAUCGGCUAAUUUAUAUAUAAUUGCCGAUUGUACUGAGUCCAAAACCGCGCGAGCCUUGUAGCUAAACCAGACUCCUUUAGUUUCUUUUAUAGGAAUUUACAUAAAUAGCUUUAAGAACUUUCUCAUCGAAUCUAUACCUACAAAAAUUAAAUGUCAGCUUAGUGCAAAUAUAAUUAUUGGCCUCGGUAUUAUUGCGACCUGGAGAAGGCAUUUUGUGAAGCGUCGGGCGAUGACGCGAGUGGCCUUAGCAUGUUAUGUUCACGGCACCUUAUAUUACCUUUUUAUGUGUUAUUUGUGUGGGGGCGAAUGUUAUUGAUGUUUGAACGACGGUGGCACUCUACACCAAAAUUGAAUUUAUGUAAUUUUAGUAUUAAGUAGUUAACAAAUUGAAAAAUAACUGUUAUCGUGCCCAACGGCAAUACCAAAUGUGACUUUAAUCGAAUUUUACUUGUAUCAAGUUUCGUAUAGACAAAGACUGUGUUAUCAAUUUUGGUGUGGAACGACCAUCUUAAGGGCUGUGUAUGGGAAAUGUUAUUCGUAAUGUUAAUACUUGUUACCCCAAAGAAGUAACUGGAAUUUUGAACAAACGUUUUAUGCCUUUAUGCUUUAAAAAUCUACUUUUUUAUUUUUCUUUUUCGUUUUGCUGUAACAUGUUUAUCUACUUUCAUGUAACCAUAUUAUAGUAAUAGUGGACUUAUAAUAUUCAGAAUAAUUGAUGUUGUAGUGUACGAAAGGCCCGGAUCAUUUCGGGUAUAGGUAUUAUGGUAUAGUAGUGUAACAAUGGCGGAGGAGGCCGGCGGCACCCACGGUAGUAAGGCCCGCGCUUAUUCUAGUCACAGUCCAUUUGUGACGUAUAAAAUUCUAUGAUUUUGAAAAAAGAAUGUAAAGUUAUGCAGUUGAAAUGGCCUUCUGCAUAUCUAAGUCGUCUUAGAAUUUUAUACUUUAUAUCUGGCUUUAUAAGAUUAGGCGUGGGCUAGUUCAUAACCGCGUCGGUCCCGCCUGCUUCCCCGCCCCAACCACAUCCUUGCCGAAAUCUCUCACUCGAGUUCCCACGUAGUUAUGAAUUUGGCGAACCAAUUAAUAUUGUAAUAUAAUGAAUUUCAGUGCCUAAAAGAACCUCUGGAUCACAAACCAAAAGAAAAAUAACUAUGUUAAAUUUAUCUAAGGCUUUCUGAAUACAAAUUUUGAAAUAUU